rnacentral:rRNA from 1 species
UACGUAGGUGGCAAGCGUUGUCCGGAAUUACUGGGCGUAAAGGGCUCGUAGGCGGCCAACUAAGUCAGACGUGAAAUCCCUCAGCUUAACUGGGGAACUGCGUCUGAUACUGGAUGGCUUGGAUUCGGGAGAGGAAUGCGGAAUUCCAGGUGUAGCGGUGAAAUGCGUAGAUAUCUGGAGGAACACCGGUGGCGAAGGCGGCAUUCUGGACCGAUAUUGACGCUGAGGAGCGAAAGCCAGGGGAGCAAACGGG